UCUCAGCAACAACGCUCCUAAACUGUCUGAAAAUUUAACUGAUUUUUUUUACACUUCACUUUAUAAGAUGCAAUCGGUUUAAAAGCGAUGACAUCAUUUUCAUUCUAAUGCCUCAACUUCCUUAACUCCCCGACUGCCCGCAGGGCCAAAAAGAGGGGAGUUGUGCGUUUCACUGCGAUCAGUGGGUGGGGGGAUAUUCCUUUGUUGCCAGUUUUCUCGACCAAUUUUUGACACAAUUGCCCCACAUUGAAUUACAUCCACUCUGGUAAAAUUUUUCUUGCUAUAUCAAAGACUCUGUGACGCGGAAGCCAUAUGGCAUUGCCAGAUAUUUUUCGAGCAACAAAGGCGGAACGUGGAGCGUGUAUGUCGAGAUUCAAAGAUCCCUCCAUUCUUACGAAGCCGAUUACACGUGAUCCGCCGCCACGCGUCGGUUCGAACUACCUCAGUAAAACAAAAUGUUUUAAAAAAACAUUAAAAAAAAAGCUCCCGACUGAAAAAUCGUACAGCUUAUUGAAAAUAAAAUGAAGUCGAGAAAAAAAUGAAUAUUAGAAAAGCACAACAGUGUAAAAAAGAUAUGCGUUUCCAGAAUAUUAUAUAUCUUCAAACCCCUUUUCUUAAGAAAAUAGGAGUAAACUUUAAAAAGACUGAAAUAAAAUAGAUGAAAUAUAAUUAAUAAGAUAGAUAGGAAACCAUUUAAUUGUUAAUUCCCUCGAGAUUCGAUUCCUAUGGUUAAUUUUUAUUAGUGGUAGGUAAGUCAUUUACGUACAAAAAUAAAAAUUUUAUUAUAAAUUGUCAAAGUUUAAUGAUUGUACAAAGAAUGAAGGUGAUAAUAAAAAAAAUGUAAUCUCACAAAAAACUGAAAUAUGUUGUAGACAUAAUGGAAUAUAAUAUUUGGCGGGAGAUGUUUCUAGAUCUUACUUAAUGAUUUUAUUGGAGACUUGUUUUAUUAAGGUAGCUCGAACCGACGCGUGGCGACAUUCAGGCCGGGUCGGCAAGAGCGUUACGUUACAGUAUCAAUAGCCAUCAAUAGCUGUAAUUAGCCUUGUAAGAAUGGAGGGAUCUUUGAAUAAACAAUCUCGAGAUACACGCUCCACGUUUCGCCUUUGUUGCUCGAAAAAUAUCUGGCAAUGCCAAAUGGCUUCUGCGACAUAGCGUCUUUGAACAUAGCAAGACAAAUUUUACCAGAAUAUGAAUGGAAUUCGGAUCAAUGUGGUUACGUACAUAAAAAAAGGUGCUUAAAGUCACGAUGAGUUCUGCGUAUAUAUACAGCGUUUUUUUCGUACAGAUCAUAUCACAUCAGACAUCGGCAAAUCGUCGUCCUAGUCAAAAAAAUAAUUCACCUAAUCGAAUAUGAAAUUCUUCGUGGGCUUCCUCGCACUCUCAUUACUUUUCGUUGUUGCUGUCGAUGCUACUAUACAAACAAUUAGCAUCCCAUUUUCUUCGUGCCUGCCAGAAAAUAUCGUUAAAAUGAAUGCGAUAACCCAGAGUUAUUGCAGAAUUGUUUUAGCCAGGAAAAAUGUACCUGUAGAAGGAAAUUAUUAUAUCAGCUACGAUGAUGGCACUGGAACGAUCCCGGAUGUCCAACAUUCUUUCUUCCGCAUUGGAAGAAGGAGAUAAAUUCAUUGCGGUGAUGCACACGUUGCUGUUGAUCAACAUGAAAAUCCGCCACUAAAAAUUCUAUUUAUUAUAAUUCUCCGAAACAAUUAUUUGAUAUUUAAUAACUUAUUACAUUUUUUUGUACGAAAAUUGGAGAAUCAUUUUCCUUUUUAAUUAUUUCCUCUUGCAACUGAAAUCAUUCCUCUGUCAUUUUGAUAAAUACCAAUUAUCAAAUACGAAACACUGUACGUGGUUUCUUCCAAACCAUUCACCUUGGGGUUCGCCGGACUACAAACUGUAUGAUAACGUUUUUUCGAGUCGUCAUUUUCGAUGGGUAAAUUCAAACGGCUCAAACAAUUUUACAUUUUUAACUUGAAAUCUUGUCCAAGUAUUUAUGCAUUUUGAAAAAAAAGUAGCUGAGUUUUGAGUUUCCCACAGCCACUAUACCAUGAAUAAAUUUACAAAAAAAUGUCAA